UACGUAGGGCGCAAGCGUUGUCCGGAAUUAUUGGGCGUAAAGAGCUCGUAGGCGGCUUGUCACGUCGGGUGUGAAAGCCCGGGGCUUAACCCCGGGUCUGCAUUCGAUACGGGCAGGCUAGAGUGUGGUAGGGGAGAUCGGAAUUCCUGGUGUAGCGGUGAAAUGCGCAGAUAUCAGGAGGAACACCGGUGGCGAAGGCGGAUCUCUGGGCCAUUACUGACACUGAGGAACGAAAGCGUGGGGAGCGAACAGG
rnacentral:rRNA from 1 species